AGGGACACAAAUGGAGCUGGAAGUUGUUAUCCUUGGCAAACUGACUCAGGAACAGAAAACCAAACACCACAUGUUUUUACUUUUAAGUGGGAGCUGAACAGUUAGAACACAUGGACACUUG